rnacentral:lncRNA from 1 species
AGCCUGGGUGUGAAUGGCAAGACAGUAGAUGAGUCUGGUUAAGCGAGGUCAGACAUCCACCAGAAUCAACUCAGCCUCAGGCAUCCAAAGCCACAUCACAGUCGGUGGUGAUGCAACUGGGGGCUUACUCUGAGGAAACCUAGGAAAUCUCGGUGUACUAGGAAGUGAAUCCUGCAGGACAGCUGCACUCAGGGAUACGCCCAACACCAUGGCCAGGGUCAAAGGUGAAGAAAGCAAGCUCACUGCCUGCACACGGAGAUUGUCUUUCUGCCACAGAACAGCUGCAAACGUGCCAGGAGGUUAGCUGAGAAAGAAAUCGGGCUGCUGCGGAG